UAUAAUUUUAAUAUUUUUAUAAUAUUAUAAUUUUUAUAUGAGGGGCUUUUGUCCUUAUUUCCGUCGGAUAAAAUAGGAAUUAAAUAUUUUUUAGGGUAACAGUAUAAGUCCGUAUAUAUCCCCAAAUUGAAUAUACUUUUUUCAACGUUAUUAUAUAUUGAAAAAAAUAAAAGAUUAUUAUUUUAAGCUAUUAUUAAUACGUAAAUUUAUUUAUAAUAAUAUUUUUAUUUACCAACACCGGUUUUUCCCAUAUAAUAGGAAAAUUUCCCUUUGCUUCUUAUAUAAUAAUAUAUAAAACGUUUUAUUUUUGUAAAGAUAUUACGAAAAUCAGUAAUUUAUAACCGUACGAAGUAAAUUCUUUUUGGUGGUAAGUUCGUCCUGUUCCACACCAAUAAUAAUUAAUGUUUUGCAAAUUUGCAAAAAUAAUUAAUAUUAUACCGCAAGAAUUUAUUAAUUAAAUUUAUUUUUGCACCCGUGUUUUUAUUUAUAUUAGUAUUAAUUCCAAAUAAAUCUAAUAGUUAAAGUAAAAUUGGCAAAAUAAAACGUUGGGGUAAAAUUAGGGUAUUAAACUUGCUAAUAAAUAUAACAGUAAAUUUUCGAAAAAGGUUAUUUUGCGUAUUUUUAUUUUUUACCAUUUAAAUUAAAAUCUUGUUUUAAAUUUAAAUUACUCUGAUAUUUUGGCUUAUUAUUUAUCUAAAACCUAAGUUUUAUUUCGAUAUUAAUAAACGAAGUAUAUACUAUUAUCGCAACGAUAAUACCGAAUAAACUUUCCCGUGGUUUUAUUUUCUCGAUUCUUCUAAUAUUUAAAUCUUUUAAAUGCCCCGAAGUCGCGUUUUCUUCUUUUGUUAUAUUUGUGUUUAAUUCGAUUUCCGCCGCAAUUCCCGUUAUUUCCCCUGGCUUUACUUUUACUUUUGCGUUCGGAAAAUUCGUUUUGGGUAAUUUGUAAUUUUAUCUUCUGUUCCUAUUAUUUUCGGUUUUUUUAGUUUUUCUUUGCUGUAAAAUUAUUACAUUAAACUAUUUCCAACGUUUUCUUUUAAAUUUUUAAUAUUAUUCUAAUAUUUUUAUAUUUAUACCACCGUCUUAUUUCCAGUAAAAAAUAUAAUACCACAAUAAAUAUUAAAAUAUCUUUUUCAAUUUAUAUACCAAUUUGUUAAAAAACCAUAAAAAACAAUUUUUUCAAUCUUUUUUAUUUAUAUGGAACUAAAAAUUCAAUAAAUAAAUAUGGAAAUUAAAAAGAAAUUAUUUUAUAAAAUACUUAGUUUGUUUAAAUUUUAAAGUAAUAUUUAUGUUUUUUAUUUUAAUAAUCUCGAUAAAUAUAUUUAUUGAUUUAACGGAGUUGUUCUAACUAAUUUCGGCAGUGGUACGUUUGGUUUUUAAAAACUCCAAAAUAUAAUUGUUAUAACAAUUUCGAAGCGGAAUCGAUAAAGUUAAAACCCUAUAAAAGAUUUUGCAUUUCUUAUUUAUAUAUUUUCGUUGCUGUUUUAAAUAUUUAUUAUAUUUGUAAUAACCAAUUAUUUUGUUAUUUUUAUAAAAAUUAAAAUCCCAAGAUAAAAAAAUAGGGAUCUUUAAAAAAAACUUACUUUUCUUUUUACAAAAUUUUGGUUUCCCGUUGUAAACUUAGCUUUUUUUAUAUAAAUUCUUUACAAUGUUCGAAUUGGCGUAUUUUUCUUAACAUUCAAAUUAACCACAAAUUUAGCAAUUUUUAACGAUUCGCCUGGAUAAUUGUCGGUUAUUAUAUAAAUAACCCAGUAAAAAGGAUUAAAAUUAUUACAACCGGGGAUUGGGUAUAAAUUAAAUAUACGCUAACUAGCAAAAUAUAAGGUAGUAAUACAGUGUAUAAUAAUCCACAAUAAUAUUACAGCAAUAGCAUUUGGGUUGAAAAUAUAUUUUUAAAAAUUUAAGAUUAACUUGCAACUUUUAGAAUUUAGGAGCUCCUAUUUAUAGGCGGCGUUUCUAUUAUGUUUAGGUAACGCGAAUUUACAGGUCUAGCAAAACUCAACCCCUAAAGCUGUACGCUAAUAUUUAAGCAUUAGUAAACCUGCACGUAACAACUACUUAUUUAAUUCUAAAAGCUCUUGAAAAGAUAUUAAUAAGUAAGCUCGAAAUGCGGUAUAUUAUGGGGCUAGCCUGUAAAUGUUAAUAAAUAAUAAUAUAUUGGUUUGGCCACAUAUAUAUAACCUACGCAAUAUAUAUACCAGAAACGUAUUUUCCUAUAAACAAAACGUAUUCUAACUCGUUUAAACCUUAUAAAAUUUUAAUUUUACUACUUUUGCACCCAAAAUACGUCACCAAACCAACGUUUUUGUUAUACGGUAAACCAACGGCAAUAUAACGGUUAAAUACCCGAAAGAAGUUACUAUUAUCGCUGAAAGGAAAGAAGAAAUACGGAAAAGAUUUGGGCGAUUUUUCCUGCUUUAUAUAUAAUAUAAAUUAUUACAUGGUCCAUAUUAUUAUUUACUUAUAGAAAUACGUGAGAUUAGUACGAAUUUAUAAUAUAACCCCUUUGUCCCGGUCCGCAAAUUAUAUAACUUGUGUUAUUUCCACCGCGGGGCCCUAAUUACAAUUCUACCGUUUUUUCCCUUUUUUAACAAAAUCCUGUUCGAUAGUUUUUGAAUUGCGAAGAAAAACCUGGGUAAAUUGCCCCGUUAUUUCCCUGGAAAUGCAGUAUGAUUUCCGCGGUAAUAUAAUUAAUUAUAUUAGGCGUAUUUAUUUCGGUUUUCUAAUUAUAUAAUACCGGUUUUGAAAUAAGUUUGUAUUUUUUACGCGUUGUGACUAGUAUAAUUAUUAUAUAUCACCGGAUAAUAUUAUUUUCGUCGCGUUUGCCCUUUGUUUUUCAAAUUGAAAAAAAUAUAUUAUUUUAUCAAAUUUUUCCUUUUUUAUUUUUAUUUUAUUUUUAUUUCGGUUUUGUUUGUUUUUUUACUUUCGCCCCGUUUUUACUCUAUUUUUAUUCUAUUUAUACCCCGUUUUUCUUUUAUUUAUAUUUACCCCGUUAUAUUAUUUUUUGGUUGCGGCUUUACCGCGGGCCUGUAAAAAUCUUUUACCGCUUAUAUUUCUUUUAUUUUUGUUUUUUCUUAUAAUCCUUUUUGUUUUUAUAAUUCCAUUUUUAUUUAUUUGCGUUAAUAUUUUCUGUUUUUAUUUUUACCGCGUUUUUGUUCUUCCGUAACUAAUGUUCCUUCUGCCCCGGUUUUGUUGUGUUUUUUUAUUUUAUUCUUUUAUUAUAUUUGCGUUGAACCUUUAUUAUAAUUUGUUUUAUUGGCCGAAAUAUUCCCUUUUCCCCCGCCGUUAUUAAUAUCAAUUGGCUUAGUCUUCCCUUUUUUCGUGGUAAUAUUAUUAUUUGUUAAUAAUAUUUGUAUAUUAACAGGGGUUUUGGAGUAAACCCUUAAUGCGGCGUGAUAGUAAUUAAUAAUAACACCGCAGUAAUAAUAACAAAAAUACCAUGUAAAUAUAAAAUAAAAAUUUAUAAAAAUUUAAUAUAGUUAAUUAUAUU
rnacentral:sRNA from 1 species